CGCCGCCGCCGGCACCUAAAGCUCCUGGAUUGAGGCCGCCCGUCUCGGGGGGGCUCCGGAGCAGGGAUACUUCAAAAUGUGUUUUGCACCACAGCAGAGCGAGCUCUUUAAAACGGAUCACAUGAACUGGUAGAGAAUGUCCUAAACUUUCUUCCUAAUUUCCAGUUAGACAAACUGUCUAGAGUCAGAACAACCCUGGCCUCAUACUUCUUCCUACAGUCUCCUGCUGAGUGUAAAAUAUGGCUGUCUUGUGGUUUGAAUAAAGCUUUUAAUGUGCCAUGGGAUGUCACGGUCCACAGAAAUGGAAUACAGUGUUCUGCUUGCUGAGAAACAGAAAAAAAAGCUAACCAAACUGGUUUCUUCCUCCCAAGUACACAGUGACUGGCUGGAAAUCCAAUCACUGAGACUAAAAAUAUCAGCCUUGAUCACAAAAAAAAAAAAGCACCUGACAGAUGGAUUUAGUCUUCCUUCAGCACAAACAUCUAUUUGCCACUAAAAGUUUGGAGGCAUUAAUAAAAUGGCACUGGGGGUGCAGCUUAACUUUUACAGUGUCAAAUGCUUGCAAGCAGCGAGGAUCCCCUCCCUGAGCCAUUCUCUGUCGGGAUGACAAGUCGCUGGCGGCUGUCAGGGUUUCAAGCAUUCAGUCACAGUAGCAAGCAAGACUGGAUGAACCUUUAUCUGCGUAAGAUAGUGCAUAGCAGGGAAGCAGCCUUGGAAAAGAUGAAUACCAUGUGUGUGGCUGGAUGCUAUGGGGCUGUUUGUCCUGCAACCAAAAGACAACAAACUCCUCAUUUCUUUAUGAUGAAUGUUGGAUGUUUUGAAAGCAAAAUAGUGACCCCUGCUAAAAAUGGAUAACACAUCUCCAGAGAGCCGCUAUUAACCUCUAAUCAAGACCUGAUUUCAUCUCUCUGCAACCUCAGGAUGGGUAAGACCUCUGAAAAGGGCCAUCUCUGGAGCUUUUAGGAUUUUGAUGCAAUGCUCCUUCUUUGGUUCUUCUGAAGUUCUUCCCUGUUCAUUGACUUUUGCUUCACCACACCAUGGCUGAGCAGCCUCAUCAGGGCAAUCUGUGCCAGAGUGUGCAGGUGCAAGCAGAAAGGUGCCAGCACUUCAGGCAUUGGCUCCUUUAACCAGAGCACUGCAGUGGAACAAAAUUAUGCUUUACGAUGUUGUGUGGUUUGGGAUUUAGAUGGUGGUGCAUCUUUUUUAGUUAAUGAGUAUGGCUGCCUGAUCUGUUUUUUGCAAAGAACACUUCUGGGAGGGUAAAACUAUGUGUGGCUGAUAAUGAGCGCUGAGGUAACCUGCAGAAGCUGCACCAGGUCCUUAUAAUCCCAGAGCAUCAUGUUUCCAGACCUAGGAGAAAGGUAUUAUAAAGAUGCUAUCCAGAGUCCCAUGUGAUUUAGAGGCACAUGCACAACUUUUUAAAAACUGACUUACUGAGAAGUGAUGGGCUGGGUAAGGCCUGUAGAAAAUUCAGAUAGCCAUUUUUGAAAACUGUACCCCUUAUUUUAAAAGAAAGGAAAACGUGAGGCAAUCACAGCUGAUUCAGCAUCCGGCAGCCUCAGCCAAGUAAUAUUUUACCUCUUCCCUUCCCUCCCCGCACAAAACUUCCAGGAAAACCUGCAAAGAAAAGGCAUAUGUGGGUAGGAGGAGACCUGCUUUUAAUUUCUGUACCUCCUAUUCAACACAAUGCCACACAAUGCACAGGAUGCGAAUAUCCCAAGGCACCUUAUACAAUACAAGUAACAAAAGCACACACACAUGCACCAGAAAAGGGGGAGCAGCAAGCAUGACAUGGUUCUAAAACAAAAUGCAGGUAAAGCUGUCUGUAAAAUGCUUAUGUAAAGGGGAUAUGUAAAAAAAAUCAUCUUGCAAAGGAAGAAGGUAGAUGCUGGAGAAAUGUUCAGGUGAUCACAAGACUUUGAUUUCCAUUUCAGAACAGGGUUUAUCUGUUUUUCCCUACCAUGUUGAAAGUAGUGGUCAGAUCUUCAUCAUCACCAGCAUAAUCAGUGCCUCCCCAGUGAAACACCCCCUGAUGCUUCUGUGAUCCCAUCUAUGGAGCAGCCUGGAAUCAGCACUGAGUCAUAUCAUGGCUGUUCCUUAUUUCCUGGUCUUUUGACUGUGGAGAGAAAGUGUGUGUAGGAGCUGCUGGCUCCCACAGACCCACCACCAUCUGUUUAAGAGAAAUCAUUCAUGGGACCACUAUUCUGGUCAAGUGGUGGAAAACAUUUGGAGAAACACCCAGUAUUAAAACUACUGUCAACACUAAAUGAGUGCAUCAGAGCCUCAACAAAGAAAUGUAAGUUUUCUUCAGCUCUCUUGCUGAUGCAUCGCUUCACAUUUCCAUUACAAAGACAGUGUUGUGGAUGAAGCAGCUGAAACCUCACCUGACCUGCCUCUGCUUGCAGGCUCAUAAAAAGUUAGUGAUGAAGGAGCUCCCAAAAUCUACAAACCUACAACCUACCGAAAAAUCUACAAUCUACAAAAAAAACCCAUGUAGUUUUGAGAUAUUUGCAGCAAGAAUGUCUUCCAUGUUUUUGUACAGGAGUAAAAGCAAAGCACUUUAAAUAAAAAGCAAGAGACAAGAUUUUACAGUCUUUCUUUAUUAAGUGCACCACAUUUUAAUGUAAAGGGGUUUCUACCUAGACAGAAAACAGUAGAUGAUUUUUAGUCAAAAAAAUGUUAACAAGGGUCUCAAAAUCAAAUGUGAACAUACAGAGGCAUAAAGGAUAAACUACAAGAAAUUUAAGUGGUUUGUAGUCAUGAAUCCCUUCUCUCUAUUGCAUGUGGUCACUAGAUGAACUUCACAUGCAUUACUUCUGUGUUUAAGAAAAAAUGGAGUUGGCACUUUUUUUACAUUUGCAUGUUGAUGGGCAGUUGCUAUCAGUAUAAUGUAAUUUUAGUGCCAGAUAGAAUUGUUUGCAACACCUUAGCUGCCUAAUUCUGAAUCCAAAUAAAAUGAGCAAUACAAAAUUUUUCUUUUAUAGAGAUUUGGUUCCCACAUCAAAUCCAUACUUGCUUUAACAUUACUAGGAAAUUUACUCUAGGAAGGAGGGUGAAGAACAACAAAAAUACCAGAGAAGACUUUUUUUCUUUACACAGUGAGACAAGACAGAGAUUUUAUAUAUUGACUCUUGAAAUUAUGACUGAAAAAACCAAAUGGCCCAAACACAUCUGCAGUCCAUGGUAUGGCAAUCAUGCCUUCUGUGGGGUGUAAAGCUGUAAUUGCUGUGCUUCUAAAAGCCACUUCCAAGUUUUCUGUAAAGUAUGUGUGCUUAUUAUAUAGUAUUGUAUGCCACUACUCCUUACAUUGCACUCUAGCCUAAGUAAAGAGCCUCUCAUUCAGAGCCUCUCAGUCCAGCCCCACUUCCCAGUGAGCUCCUCACCUAAGGACUGUAGGUUGCAGGCUUCCCCUUCCCACACAGCUCUGCAGAAUCUGGCUUUGUCUGGCAUCUCAUAGUCCUGACCAGCUCAGGAAAAGGAGUCAUUUGUGCCUGGACAUUGGACUGAGUGGUGAAAGUGACCAAAAAUGAAUCAGUAGGUUCGUUCCAGUAAGUGAUUUCAUUUUUUCUUGUGUUGAAAAAAAUUUGCUUGGCUGAAAGCCAGUGACUUGCCUAGAAAGACUCUGAACACAAAUGAUCUCUGCUCUGUGAAAAUUAGCUUGCACUAUGCAUCAAUACCCUUUUACAUGUUCUAGUGUUCAUAAGUGUGCACUUAUAAAUCUAUGUUUUUAUAGUAAAAUAGCUCCCUAAGCUAUCCCAUGGAUAUUCAGCUUAUAGUUCCUUGCAGAAGAUAGAGCUCUUAUCUCUGCAUAACAUCUGUACUUCCAGUCAUCCAGAAUCCAAAUUACUUUGUAGACAAGUGGUUGUAGGCAGAGUUAAUUUUUGGAGAGUCUUGUCUCUUCCACAGGAAUUGUAUAAACUGAAUGAAAAAUUUAGUGGUCUGAUUCCCACUAAACUUUUCUGUAGUUUCAAAUUACUCCUGUUUUGCACUGUGGAAACCAAGACCUUGUGGAGGGACUGAAGCUAUUGGAUUUUGAGUCUGUAAAAUCAGAAAGAUUGAAUAAAUGUAAAGUAGCUCUGAAAUAUGAGUCUAUGAAUUUAAGGAAUAUUUCAAGAGUGUGUCGUGAUCAACAGAGUUCCGUCUGCUCCGUAAAGAAGUAGCUCUGUAGAGGAGCCAGAACUUCUCACUCACGUGGGCUACACUCAGCCCACUCACAAGGGCUACAGUAUCACUAAAUUGCCUUAAGAAAAAUUUAC